GAGUUUGAUCCUGGCUCAGGACGAACGCUGGCGGCGUGCUUAACACAUGCAAGUCGAGCGAUGAAGCUUCCUUCGGGAGGUGGAUUAGCGGCGGACGGGUGAGUAACACGUGGGUAACCUGCCUCAAAGUGGGGGAUAGCCUUCCGAAAGGAAGAUUAAUACCGCAUAAUAUAAGAGAAUCGCAUGAUUUUUUUAUCAAAGAUUUAUUGCUUUGAGAUGGACCCGCGGCGCAUUAGCUAGUUGGUAAGGUAACGGCUUACCAAGGCAACGAUGCGUAGCCGACCUGAGAGGGUGAUCGGCCACAUUGGAACUGAGACACGGUCCAGACUCCUACGGGAGGCAGCAGUGGGGAAUAUUGCGCAAUGGGGGAAACCCUGACGCAGCAACGCCGCGUGGGUGAUGAAGGUCUUCGGAUUGUAAAGCCCUGUUUUCUAGGACGAUAAUGACGGUACUAGAGGAGGAAGCCACGGCUAACUACGUGCCAGCAGCCGCGGUAAUACGUAGGUGGCGAGCGUUGUCCGGAUUUACUGGGCGUAAAGGGUGCGUAGGCGGAUGUUUAAGUGGGAUGUGAAAUCCCCGGGCUUAACCUGGGGGCUGCAUUCCAAACUGGAUAUCUAGAGUGCAGGAGAGGAAAGCGGAAUUCCUAGUGUAGCGGUGAAAUGCGUAGAGAUUAGGAAGAACACCAGUGGCGAAGGCGGCUUUCUGGACUGUAACUGACGCUGAGGCACGAAAGCGUGGGUAGCAAACAGGAUUAGAUACCCUGGUAGUCCACGCCGUAAACGAUGGAUACUAGGUGUAGGGGGUAUCAACUCCCCCUGUGCCGCAGUUAACACAAUAAGUAUCCCGCCUGGGGAGUACGGUCGCAAGAUUAAAACUCAAAGGAAUUGACGGGGGCCCGCACAAGCAGCGGAGCAUGUGGUUUAAUUCGAAGCAACGCGAAGAACCUUACCUGGACUUGACAUCCCUUGCAUAGCCUAGAGAUAGGUGAAGCCCUUCGGGGCAAGGAGACAGGUGGUGCAUGGUUGUCGUCAGCUCGUGUCGUGAGAUGUUAGGUUAAGUCCUGCAACGAGCGCAACCCUUGUUAUUAGUUGCUACCAUUAAGUUGAGCACUCUAAUGAGACUGCCUGGGUAACCAGGAGGAAGGUGGGGAUGACGUCAAAUCAUCAUGCCCCUUAUGUCCAGGGCUACACACGUGCUACAAUGGUAGGUACAAUAAGACGCAAGACCGUGAGGUGGAGCAAAACUUAUAAAACCUAUCUCAGUUCGGAUUGUAGGCUGCAACUCGCCUACAUGAAGCUGGAGUUGCUAGUAAUCGCGAAUCAGAAUGUCGCGGUGAAUACGUUCCCGGGCCUUGUACACACCGCCCGUCACACCAUGAGAGCUGGUAACACCCGAAGUCCGUGAGGUAACCGUAAGGAACCAGCGGCCGAAGGUGGGAUUAGUGAUUGGGGUGAAGUCGUAACAAGGUAGCCGUAGGAGAACCUGCGGCUGGAUCACC
rnacentral:rRNA from 1 species